CUCACACACACUUGUGUCACUCAGUAAACAUGCACUGAGCACCUAGUAUGUGUGGGACGCUGGGGGAAAGAAGCAGGACCGAUGUGACUGCCAGCCUGGCUGGGAGAUGGACGUCUCAUUUCAGGGGCUUUUCAAGGAGUAUGGUCUUACUGGAACACUUGCAUGUCGAUUGCUCAGGCUGUAAUCCUCUAGCUCGUGGCUACUCUACCGGGAGGAGAAUGUCUGCCUUUUGGCUGGAAGUCAGUACCCUGGCUGGAAUGCACUUUGUUUCUUCUGUCACCCCCUCCUUCUGCACCAGGUUGGGUGCGGCAUGUGUGACUGGCCUCUAGACCAUCCUCAGUGCUUCCUGCACCACGGCUCCUUCUCUCUUCACUGUCAAAGAGCAAGAAGAGCACCCCCUGGACCUAACACCCCCCACUCCAGAUCUUCCCACGUGUCUCAGGACACCAUUGGAAGCAUGGGUUAUUUUACCAAGGCUUUGACAGGAAUGUUGUAUUUGAGAGAGAUAUGCAUAGACUCAGAUAUGGCCAGACAGCUUUAAGGAACUAAGGUUGACUUUAUGAAACCUGGAGCCAUAAAGCCCAUUGGAACUGUUGGCGUGAGACCUUGCUUACAGAGUUCCCAGCAGCCUCACCAGGUGAGUAAAGAAUAUCACUUCCUGGCAGGUGCAAAAACCUCAGGAUACUUUGGGGACCUCAGGAAGAGGAAUUCGCUUAAAUCGGCGGGUACUGCAGGCAUGUCUGAUGGCAAGUGCAUGGGUUGGCUUCUGGCCUGGAGAAGCUACUAAAAGUUCCACCUAGAGAUUCCUUAUAAGAAGUCCCAGAAAAGCAGAUUCUAAAAGAUCUAUAUGAUCACUCACUGUUCUUGCUGAACUUAUGUAAAUAAUUAGGACAAAUUUGUUGAAACUGGACUUGUUUUUCAAAUAGAUUAGUCCUGAUUUGGCUAUCUCCGGAAAUGGAGGUUAUUUUAGAGAGAAAAAUUAUGUUUCAGUAACACACACCUUUGUGGAUGUUAAUUUCUAGAUUUUGUUGUCUUUAAAUGUUUGUUUACCUAAGCUAGACAACUUGAGGUAAACUUUAGAGAAGCUGUACAAUAGCUCGUUUAGACAAUCUUGCCUAAUAUUCUGUAGGGAUAAUAACAGAACCCAUUAGGCACAUAACUUAAAUAUUUAAACAACUGGAAAAAUGGGAUUGAUUCCCCUACAAUUGUAUAACUAUCACAUUGUGUGUGGCUGGAAUAAUGAAACUGCCUAAAAGCCAGCAUACCACACUCCACAGGAUUAACUAUGGACUUGUGGAAAUAAUGGAUGACCCCCACUUUCUUUAUGAUUGGAUUGGAUGAUGCAUGUGGGACUCCCCUUAUCUCUUGACAAGUUUUCUCCCACUUGCCAGUGAUCCUCUGUAAUCAGGAUAUUGUUAAGGCUAGACCAUUCAAAGGGCUUCUUAAUGGUUUCAUCUCUUAGUCAUAUUUAUUCUAGAAGCCACCUCUGUUGAGCUACAAUUGCAAACAAAUGCUUUAGCUAAGCAUAGAAUAGCCCUCCUCGUAAAAAUAGCCUCAAAGCUCACUAUGGGACAGUCUCUAACUAUAAUGACUUCACAUCAGAUCCAGAUUUGUCUUAAGAAACCAAAGGCCACCAAUGGAUGAUGGAAGCUGACUUAUUAAAUACUGGGCUACCCUUACAGAUAUGCCAGAAAUAAUACUUAAAACUUGUCAAACUUUAAACCUAGUUACCCGUAUGCCUGAACCUGACCAUUGUACUUCUUUCUCUAUAGAGCAAAACUGUUCAGAGGUUAGUGAUCUUGCUUACUCUAGUUGGCCAGAUUUAAGAUUCCCCUAUUAAAAAUACAAAUGAGGGGCACUUGGGUGGCUCAGUGGGUUAAGCCUCUGCUUUUGGCUCAGGUCAUGAUCCCAGGGUUCUGGGAUCGAGCCCCACAUCGGGCUCUCUGUUCAGCAGGAGCCUGCUUUCCUUCCUCUCUCUCUGCCUGCCUCUCUGCCUACUUGUGAUCUCUGUCUGUCAAGUAAAUUUAAAUAAUAAAUAAAAAUACAAAUGACAGUUGGUUUACUGAUGACAAUAGUUUUUAUAAAAAGAAUUUAAAAAGCUAGGGAUGCCAUAGUGCUCACUAACACUUUGCAAUUGCCAAAGCCUUAAAAAUAAAGAUUAAUACUGACUCCAAAUAUGCCUUCCUAGUACUACAUGCCCAUGGAGUUAUUUGGAAGGAAAGGGGAUUACCAUUAAGCCAUAACUCCCCAAUCAAAUAUGGGCCUGAGAUCAUAACCCUUCUUUUUU